CCUGACUGGCCUGGAACUCAGGAAGAUCUGCCUGUCCCUGCCUUUAGAACGCUACGAUUGAAGAUGUGAGCGACCACACCUGGCAUUCCUGCUUAUUAAGCUGUUUGUGAACUGGGCUUGAUGGUUGAUGCCUGUAAUCACAAUACUGGAUAGCUGUGACAAGGUGGCUGUCAUGUGUUCGGGAUCCACCUCAGCUACAGAGUGAAUUCCUAUCUCAAAAGGAAGCGGGGGCUUUACCCUUACCUGUUGACUGACUCCACACCACAGCACCUGGACUGGAUUAUAGUGGCGGUUUUUAUUCUUCCCAUGAAGUUGUGUAUCUGGUAAGAAAACCAUGACAUCUAGAGCAGGCAUUUCAGAAGACCUGGAGUGGCUUUUGGCGUCAUCAGGAGAACCUGAAGAGGAAUGUUGAGGGCACAGACCUUGUCUUAGUUAAGGAUAUGCCAUCAGUAGGGACUGAAAAGUGAAGGAAGAUGACAGACGCCAAGCAUGGUGCUACUGAUGAUGCAGCUUACUUUCCUGUGGUACCCACAGAAGCGCUCGUCUGGGAUCCCUGUCAAAGCCGUGGCACUUCCGGCUGCUGCAGAAAGAUCUGCAGUGUUUUGGGUGAACACACUUUAAGGCCUGUAUGGAUUGGCUCUUUACAUUUUGAAAUAGGCAUGCAAUUGGGAACCUGUAGAUGGAGUUUUCCCGUUGGGACAGCCAGCUCCCCCAAAACCACACAGAGACUUAUUAAUUAUAAAUGCUUGGCUGAUAGGUUACUAACUAGUUCUUUCAACUUAAACUAACCCAUAUUCUAUCCUCUACCACAUGGCAGUACCUUUUCCAGAACGCCAUGUUUGUCUCCUGCUUCCUCUGCAUCUGGCUGGUGACUCCGCCCUCUUUCUUCCCAGCAUUCUCAGUCUGGCGCUCCUGGCUCACCUCUUCUUUCCUACUUAUUCCUAGUUAUUGGCCAUUUGGCUCUUUAUUAAACCAGUGAGAAAAAGACAUCUUCACGGUGUACAACAGGAUUCUAACGCAGCAGGAACCAGA